rnacentral:rRNA from 1 species
GGGGCCAUUCGGGAGGUUCAUUUGAAUCUAUCAAUACCAACACGUGAACCAAUUCGUCUGGCCCCAUGCGCACCUCUUUUGGCGCGCGCGGCGCCCUCGCUUCCGUUCAUUCGGUCGCGUUGGGCGGGUCCAGGACAACCCAAUCCCUAACAAGGUGCGGGCCCUGGGUUGGUCUCUUGUCUAACCUUUAACACCAAACCAAAACUUCUAAAGUAUGAAUGCAAUCGGCAUUGCCGUUGCACUUAACCAAGACAACUCUCAACAACGGAUAUCUUGGCUCUCGCAACGAUGAAGAACGCAGCGAAAUGCGAUACGUAGUGUGAAUUGCAGAAACCGUGAACCAUCGAAUCUUUGAACGCAUAUUGCGCUCGAGGCCUCGGCCAAGAGCAUGUCUGCCUCAGCGUCGGGUUAAUACUCGCCCAAACCAACACAUGUGUUGGCACACGGCGGAUCUGGCAGUCCCACUCCGCAAGGGGUGGGUCUGCUGAAGCGCACAGGUUGAUGUAUGGACCCUAUACGGGCCGCAACUGGGUAGGCAUUCAUCUGCUAAUUUCUAAUUGUUGGCUUGGGGGGUGCAUCCAACCCCUCAAACAGGAAACUAACCUCCUCCAUCAAGACCUGAGCUCAGGCAAGAUUGCCCGCUAAACUUAAUCUUUUCAGUGGGCGCAGGAAGAAAAC